rnacentral:rRNA from 1 species
UACGGGGGGGGGCAAGCGUUGUUCGGAAUUACUGGGCGUAAAGGGCUUGUAGGCGGCCAACUAAGUCAAACGUGAAAUCCCUCGGCUUAACCGGGGAACUGCGCUUGAUACUGGAUGGCUUGAGAUUGGGAGAGGGAUGCGGAAUUCCAGGUGUAGCGGUGAAAUGCGUAGAUAUCUGGAGGAACACCGGUGGCGAAGGCGGCAUCUUGGACCAACACUGACGCUGAGGAGCGAAAGCCAGGGGAGCAAACGGG